AAAACUUACCAGGUCCAGACAUAGUGAGGAUUGACAGAUUGAGAGCUCUUUCUUGAUUCUAUGGGUGGUGGUGCAUGGCCGUUCUUAAUUGGUGGAGUGAUUUGUCUGGUUAAUUCCGUUAACGAACGAGACCCCUGCCUGCUAAAUAGCUCGCAUAGUGUUUAUCACUGUGUAGAGCUUCUUAGAGGGACGUGCGUUCUAUUAGACGCAGGAAGAUAGGGGCAAUAA
rnacentral:rRNA from 1 species